UACGUAGGGUGCAAGCGUUGUCCGGAAUUAUUGGGCGUAAAGAGCUCGUAGGCGGUCUGUCGCGUCGGCUGUGAAAUCCCGGAGGCUCAACCUCGGGUCUGCAGUCGAUACGGGCAAACGUAGAGUAUUGCAGGGGAGACUGGAAAUUCCUGGUGUAGCGGUGAAAUGCGCAGAUAUCAGGAGGAACACCUGUGGCGAAGGCGGCCCCUGGUUGGAUACUGACGCGUGAUACGGCGAAAAGCUAGGGAGCAAACAGG
rnacentral:rRNA from 1 species